UUAUUUUUGGAGGUGAAAAGACUAUCUUAGUUUUGAUUAUCAAACGGCCACCUAUUUUUGAAAACGCCUUAAACAGAUGGAGUAUUGUUCGAAAUAAAUUUUGGCGUUGGAAUUUUUGAUUUCCGUCAACCCGUUGACGAGAUAUUCUCACUUUUGAAUUAUGGGUGGGGGUGGAGAGAGAGAGAGUAGUGGUGUAAAGUUAAAAUUCCGCGCGCACUUCGCUACGCCGACAGCGUGUGUAUUACACCGGGAGAUUUUGAGUGAUAACAGUGUAAAAGCACCCAAAGUAUAAUAGGUUAUAGCUGAUAGUCUCUACUACACACGGACAAUGUUCACGAUACAGACGGUAAGGCCGAUUAGCGACGGUAAAGACAUAUUUAUAAUCAAUGUUUAUCGAUUGGGUGAAACCACGGUGUGACUCGUGGGUUGUGAUGAUAAUACAUUGCAAGAUUGAAAACAUUUUUUUUUUUUUUUUCCAGCAAUACUAAUACGGUGUCUAUUUCGAUACAAUUGCUAUAACAAUUGAAAUUAUAAUACAGCGACUGUGUCUUGAAUGGUUUUUUUCUUAUUAUGAUCUCGUAUUUUAUUUAACGAUUUAUCAAGCGUAUAAGUAAUGUUAAUUGAUACCUGCACAUGUGAGUUGGAUGCCUACAGAGGACAAUGUACAAUUAACUGGCAAGUUUUAGCUGUGUAACUGUACAAAAUACAUUAACAUACAUAUUAUUAUUAUUGUUAUGUAUCUAUACAAAUAUUCAUUUUUUUUUUUUGUUUCAGGCGAAUCAAUAAGUUUUGUUUUAAUGUAUAUGUAAUACCGAAUAUGCAUUACUGACUUGUUAUGCCAAUCAAUAUUAUUCAUAUGUUGAUAACAACUAUCAAGCUCGAUUUACAACUGAGUUACACCAUAAAACUGUACCGGACAUAUUUUUCCACAAUAAAAUUCAGUAAAUUGGUUAUCUAAGACAAUCUAAAUUAACUAAAAACACCUUUGGCUAGACGAUUUGAACUUUGUUGGAUACAUUUAAAAAUCUUAUGCUAAUUUGCUAUCUUCAAAGAAAACCAUAAAAUAAGGAUGAAACGGUGUGGUAAAAUUUCAAUAUUAUGAUGGCUAGGUUGAUUAAUUGAAGUAUUAUUUUGAAGUACAAUUUGCAAUUUAGAACAAGUCAAAAUAAAAGUAUCGC